rnacentral:sRNA from 1 species
CAGAGGCCAACAUUCCAAUUCCCGUGAAGUCUGAUAUGGUUAUGAUGCAUGAACAUCAUAAAGAAACAGAAUAUAAAGAUAAGAUUCCUUUACUACAGCAGCCAAAACGAGAAGAAGAAGUGUUAGACCAGGGUGAUUUCUAUUCACUACUUUCCAAGCUGCUAGGAGAAAGGGAAGAUGUUGUUCAUGUGCACAAAUAUAAUCCUACAGAAAAGGCAGAAUCAGAGUCAGACCUGGUAGCUGAGAUUGCAAAUGUAGUCCAAAAAAAGGAUCUUGGUCGAUCUGAUGCCAGAGAGGGUGCAGAACAUGAGAGGGGUAAUGCUAUUCUUGUCAGAGACAGAAUUCACAAAUUCCACAGACUAGUAUCUACCUUGAGGCCACCAGAGAGCAGAGUUUUCUCAUUACAGCAGCCCCCACCUGGUGAAGGCACCUGGGAACCAGAACACACAGGAGGUGCGUGUAGGGUUUCUUUUAAGCAAUAAAGUGUGAAAUGCUACAAUCCACGUUAGCAAAACCUGAAGGGAAUAAGAAUUAAUGGGUGAAAAAAUUCAUCAAUGAAAAGGACUUAUCAUUAGAAAAAAUAUUACUCAGAUUUGGGCUAUCAGAUAACAUCUUUGAAGAUUUUUUUUUUGUUUUGGUUUUGGUCUAUUACUGCAUAAAUUUAGUGUCUGUUCUAUUGGUGAGCCAGAACUACAAGGACCAAAAAAUAUUUGGAUCAUUUGGGGAAAGGAGGCAUAUGAAAUUCAGAAUAAAAAUUCUUACAAUUGAAUAUUUUUCAUUUUGCUCAAUGGAAAUACAUUGAAAAUUCAAAACCUGAUAUGUAAAGUCCCAGUUUAAGAAAUGCUCAUAUACUGUC